AGCGAACGCUGGCGGCAGGCCUAACACAUGCAAGUCGAACGAACCUUUCGGGGUUAGUGGCGGACGGGUGAGUAACACGUGGGAACGUGCCUUUAGGUUCGGAAUAACUCAGGGAAACUUGUGCUAAUACCGAAUGUGCCCUUCGGGGGAAAGAUUAAUCGCCUUUAGAGCGGCCCGCGUCUGAUUAGCUAGUUGGUUGAGGUAAUGGCUCACCAAGGCGACGAUCAGUAGCUGGUCUGAGAGGAUGAUCAGCCACAUUGGGACUGAGACACGGCCCAAACUCCUACGGGAGGCAGCAGUGGGGAAUCUUGCGCAAUGGGCGAAAGCCUGACGCAGCCAUGCCGCGUGAAUGAUGAAGGUCUUAGGAUUGUAAAAUUCUUUCACCGGGGAUGAUAAUGACGAUACCCGGAGAAGAAGCCCCGGCUAACUUCGUG
rnacentral:rRNA from 1 species